AAGGCAGAACUUGACAAGGUUGUGGAAUGUUAGUUACACUUGUCUUAGCAGAAUUCACAGGAGGGUUCCUGAGCUCAUAUGCUGUGCUCAUGCUAGGAGAAACUGCAGUUCCCUCAGAUUUUCCUGAUACACUAGCAGAAGCAACAGCAGCACCCAAUACCUUAUGAGAUGAUGCAUUCACCUCCCCAGUAGGAACAGAACUGACCUGCAAUUCAGUUCUCAUCUCUCCACCGA
rnacentral:misc_RNA from 1 species